CAAUAGCGUAUAUUAAAGUUGUUGCGGUUAAAAAGCUCGUAGUUGGAUUUCUGCCGAGGACGACCGGUCCGCCCUCUGGGUGAGUAUCUGGCUCGGCCUGGGCAUCUUCUUGGAGAACGUAGCUGCACUUGACUGUGUGGUGCGGUAUCCAGGACUUUUACUUUGAGGAAAUUAGAGUGUUUCAAGCAGGCAUACGCCUUGAAUACAUUAGCAUGGAAUAAUGAUAUAGGAUCCACGUCCUAUUUUGUUGGUUUCUAGGACGAGGAUAAUGGUUAAUAGGGAUAAUUGGGGGCAUUCGUAUUAAGACGUCAGAGGUGGAAUUCUUGGAUUGUCUUACGACGAACUACUGCGAAAGCAUUUGCCAAGGAUGUUUUCAUUGAUCAAGAACGAAAGUAAGGGGAUCGAAGAUGAUCAGAUACCAU
rnacentral:rRNA from 1 species